rnacentral:rRNA from 1 species
GGCGGUGUUUUAGUCUAGUUAGAGGAACCUGUUUUAUAAACGAUACAACACGCAUUAUUUUACUUGUUUUAGUAAAUCAGUUUGUAUACCGUCAUUAUAAGAUAAUUUAGGAGAGAAUAUUAUUGGGAUCAUAUUAUUGAGUAUAUUAGAUCAAGGUGCAGCUUAUAAAUAAGUAAACAUGGGUUACAAUAAAAUUUAUUUAAUAUGAAUUAAGUGUUUAAAUAUAUUUAUGAAGGAGGAUUUAAUUGUAAGAGGGGAAGUAGUGAGGCUUUCUGAUAAAAGCUCUAAAUUAU